rnacentral:rRNA from 1 species
UACAGAGGUCUCAAGCGUUGUUCGGAUUCAUUGGGCGUAAAGGGUGCGUAGGCGGCGCGGUAAGUCGGGUGUGAAAUCUCGGGGCUUAACUUUGGAAUUGCUUUUGAAACUACAAGACUAGAGUGAGUUAGAGGAUGGCGGAAUUCCUAGUGUAGUGGUGAAAUACGUAGAUAUUAGGAAGAACACCGGUGGCGAAGGCGGCCAUCUGGGACUCAACUGACGCUGAGGCGCGAAAGCGUGGGGAUCAAACAGG